AAUGAACGCUGGCGGCAGGCCUAAAACAUGCAAGUCGAACGCCCUAGCAAUAGGGAGUGGCGCACGGGUGAGUAACAUGUGGGAAUAUGCCUUUUGGUACGGAACAACGUUUGGAAACGAAGGCUAAUACCGUAUGGUCCCUACGGGGUAAAGAUUUAUCGCCAAAAGAUUAGCCCGCACUAGAUUAGCUAGUUGGUAAGGUAAUGGCUUACCAAGGCGACGAUCUAUAGCUGUUCUGAGAGGAAGAUCAGCCACACUGGGACUGAGACACGGCCCAGACUCCUACGGGAGGCAGCAGUUAGGAAUAUUGGACAAUGGGCGCAAGCCUGAUCCAGCCAUGCCGCGUGAGUGAUGAAGGCCUUCGGGUUGUAAAGCUCUUUAGUCCACGAAUAUAAUGACUGUAGUGGAAGAAUAAGCCCCGGCUAACUUCGUGCCAGCAGCCGCAGUAACAC
rnacentral:rRNA from 1 species